GGGGUCCAGAUGGUGUGAAGCUGGAGAAUGCCAACAGCAGCAUUGCCACUGUCACAGGCCUCCAGGUUGGGACAUAUGAGUUCACUCUGACAGUGAAAGAUGAGAGGAACCUGCAGAGCCAAAGCUCCGUCAACGUCAUCGUCAAGGAAGAGAUAAACAAGCCACCCGUUGCAAAGAUUGCUGGUAAUGUUGUCAUCACCUUGCCCACAAACACAGCAGAGCUGGAUGGAUCGAAGUCCUCUGAUGAUAAAGGGAUUGUCAGCUACUUGUGGACCCGGGAUGAGGGGAGCCCUGCAGCUGGGGAAGUCUUAAAUAAUUCAGACCAUCAUCCUGUCCUUCUGCUGUCCAAUCUGGUAGAAGGGACCUACACAUUUCACCUCAGAGUAACAGAUGCCAAAGGAGAGAGUGAUGUGGAAAGGACCACGGUGGAGGUCAAACCUG